rnacentral:ncRNA from 2 species
UUAUUCAUCACAGAAGUUGGUUCUGUUUAACCACAGAUUAAAAGGGAAUCGUGUGAAAAUCACGAACUGUCGCGCAACUGUAAGUAGCUAAAAGUCUUUAUAAGGAAUCCACUGUGCUAUGUGUAUGGGAAGGAAAUAAAGAUGUUACAAGUCAGGAGACCUGCCUAUUUCUUUAAACAAGA